UAGGGAGACCAUCUGACAGCAGACCGAACCUAAAUUAUAGGUCAAUGUCAGUCAUCCCUGGUCGUUCGAGAUAAUAGAGUCAAAGCUUUCAAACUAUUAACUGGUUCAGAACAUGGGCUAUUAGCUCAGUUGGUUAGAGCGCACCCCUGAUAAGGGUGAGGUCCCUGGUUCAAAUCCAGGAUGGCCCACCUGGAAAAAAAGUAAUGAAAUUUAAGUCAGGAGUCAGGAACGAUCAAGGAUCAAUUCAGAACUCAGGACAGAAAAAAUCAAAGCUUGCUUAGUGGGGGUAUAGCUCAGUUGGUAGAGCGCCUGCCUUGCACGCAGGAAGUCAGCGGUUCGAGUCCGCUUACCUCCACUCUCACUCCCCCAACCAAAAAUAAUCAUCCACUCUGAAAAUAGAAAUCAGCACCCUAACCGGCUCUUUGGGCUUGUGGGAAUGCUGGAGUCUCGACUCUAGUCAGAACCUUGAAAACUGCAUAGCAAUUAAGUCAUCAAUCAGCAGGUAAGUCUUCCGAGAAAUCGGAACAUCUUACUCAGACCAUCAAAAAAUCAAGU
rnacentral:tRNA from 1 species